rnacentral:rRNA from 1 species
UGACGUCAAAUCAUCAUGCCCCUUAUGACCUGGGCUACACACGUGCUACAAUGGUUGGUACAACGAGUUGCGAGUCGGUGACGGCGAGCUAAUCUCUUAAAGCCAAAUCUCAGUUCGGAUUGUAGGCUGCAACUCGCCUACAUGAAGUCGGAAUCGCUAGUAAUCGCGGAUCAGCACGCCGCGGUGAAUACGUUCCCGGGCCUU